AAUUUAAGAUAACAUUCGAUCCCACAAACAAAAGUAGAAUCUUUACAAAAAUAUAUUUUACUUUCAACGCAGAGGACCAAACUAUAUACGAAACUUUGAACCUAGAUAAUUAGCAUUAGAGAAAAACCUCUAAACCCUUGAACCAAAGAUUACCUACUACGUACUAGAGAUUCAAGAGAAACCCAAAUUAUUUUCAAAGACUUGAUGAAUGGAUUAAGCUAGAUCAACUUGACCUUGAUUCCGUAGAGUGCGCCUCAGAUGAAAAAAGUUGAAGACAAAGAACUGUGUAUUGGUUAUAGGUGAGACUAGCUGGAAGAUGCACGAAACAAGAGAGGAAGAUUGAUGAGUCACAUUAGCGCUCCUUCUCAAACUCUACAGAGACCCUGUUCAAAAAAAAACAAGA